CCCAUGACCCAGGUAUGAAGCUAGAUUGGGACAGACAACUAGAAAUGAUUCAAUCUGGAUGUUAAUGGUGGUUAGCCAAUGUUGAUAAUAACCAUGGAAACCACAAUCAAGUUUUUCCUAAGGGAGAAUACUUCAAACAAGACUAGACAAAAGUGGACAUACAGAUGAACAAACAGGAUUCAAAGCCUCUUGAAUGUGAGUAAAUAGCAGCAUGGAUUAGUCUGGCUCUGACUGGAUCAACUGUCCCCACAUCUUCAAUGUUUGCUGCUCCCCUGUAGGUCUUCAUCUUCUCCUUCUAAGAAAUGGAAGGAAACUUUUCAGCUGGUGGUUGCCGAAGCCAAAAUCCACAUCAUCUCCAGUUUAUUCAGCAU